GCAUAAUCAAUAGUUUCUCAAUUGGGAUCCAGUAUGAAGGGUAGAAACUGAGAAGAAAGUUUUAUUUUAUAUAAUAUUUGAAUUUUAGUUAGGAAUUAAAAUGUUUUUAUCAUUCCUUGGGACGAGAAGACCCUAGAAGCUUAAAAAUCUAAAAUUUUUUGAUUGGGGUAAUUUAUUGAAGACUUUAAUUUUUGAUAGAUUUUUAUAAAAUUUUUAAAAGUUACUCUAGGGAUAACAGCGUUAUUUAAUUAACAAGUUCUUAUUAAUAAUUGAGUUUGCGACCUCGAUGUUGAAUUAAUU
rnacentral:rRNA from 1 species